AGUGGGCAGGCCUGUGGGACUUCCAUAGGGAGAGCCAGAUACAGGAGGGAUUGAAGUGUGAGUUGGCUCAACCUCUUCUCUGGUGGUUAUUUGGUCAAACUCCCAAUCUGGAGCCUCUCAGACAGCGACAGAGGCAAUGAUUAACAUAGUGAUGGGUAGGAACACAUCACAAGGAUGGAAAGAGAGAAGCCAUGUCUGCAAGAUCCUCUUGCAUCCCACCAGACAAACGUACUUGCAUACAUCCUUAGUGCUUCCCUUUUUCUUUAUGCCAUCUUUACGUUUAUCGAAUUUGGGAGACAGAGAUGGCAAAUGGCAAAUACUUGCUGGGAGCUCUUUUGUGUCUUCAAGGGUUUGUUUUUAUUAUGGCUUUUACUGCUUUCUCUCUUCUCUCCCUAAGCCUGGAAGAUCAACAAGGCACAAUUCCCCCUGAUCCAGGAUGCCUGAAGAGCAGAAGGAUGGGCAACCUCAGAUGACCGUGUCUGGAGGGAAGAGAAAAUGAGGAAGGGGCCACAACUGAACAGACAGUGCCUUCAGGAAAGAGAAGCUGCUUGGGAAACUCUGCAGUCCUUUUAGGAAGAAAAUUCCCUAGUGUAAAAGGAAGUGGACUGGUGGUGCUGGUGUUGGAGGAAUGUUGGUGAGCUACUGGAAAGGAGAGAGCGUGGGUUUGGAGCAUGGGGAAAACGUGAGAACGUUUGUGAAACUCCUGAGAGAGAGUAUGAGUUGGUUGUUAUGUGGUGCUCUGAGCCUGUGUGGAUCCUAGAGGGAAGUGCUGAUGGUUUCUUGGACCUCUCCAUCCAAAUCCACCAGCCUGCAGAUCAGAACUGGGCUGGAAGGCUUUGUGCUGCUGACACAAAGCGUGUUGGAGCCAGGAUGACAAUGCUGGAGGAGUUAAACCCAUAUCUGUCCCCGUGGACUCACCAUUGUGCAGGCAGCCAGCUGAAGGCACCCUUGACCUGAGCUGAGGGACUUAACACGUUGAAGGUGAAUCAUCUGUUUCAUUAAAUCAGAGGCCACUUCAAGGACUGCAGCCCAAUUAUGCCACAUGUCGUACAUAGCCUGAGAAGAAUAUUGGUUGCAGAAUAGGAUCCAUAUGAGCAGGUCCUUACAGGGGAGCACGUCCUGCUGAAGAACGGCCUUGAGUAUCUGCCUGCAAGGAUCAGCUUAACAGGCCUGAACUCUUAAUUUAUAGCGUUAAGCAGCUCUGAAGAAGAGGAAACAAUCUGUAGGAGGUUCAGCAUGAAGUGGACAGCACAGUGACAUGUGUUUCCCCUCCAAGGAGCAAGGCUCUCUGCCUUUGCUUUGGUGUAAGGCUGUGUGCUCCAGGAAUAAGCAAGAAUAUCAAGGUCUGGCCUGGAUUCCUCCCUUGAGGAAAGAGACAGAUGAUAUCAUUGCUGGAGUUGUUUGGACAUCACAAAGGUACUUACUGAAAUGAGAAAAAUAUGGUUUCAAUUCACUUUUUAAUAAUAAAAACGUAACGGAAUGCUGUGAGGGCCAGGAACCUCACCAAGAAAAGAACCUUUGCACCCUGAAGAACUUCUCUUUGCCAAAUGAAUAAGCAUUUCUAAGUCACUCUUUAGUUCUUUUUUUUUUUUUUUUUGAAUGUAUACAUAUGUAUAUAACAUAUACAAGGCCAGAUGUAAAGAAUUUCCUUGCUUGUCUUGCUGACAUCAGCUUUCUUGUGCAACUGUGAUGAAGAAGCAAUCCCAUGGUGAAGUGCACACAGCUCAUUCCUGCAAGACAUUGCACUGUUCACAGCUCCUCCUGAACGCUGCACCCUAAGAUCCAAGCAGACAAUAAUGAGCAAAAUAUUAGCAAAAUCCGUGAGUCUAAACACAUCUUAAUGGUAAUUAAGUAAUUAAAUCCAUUCUGACUGAAGAGAUGAAGGGAACAUUGGCUUUAAGUUUUCAAGUACACCUCACUGAGCUGCACCUUCCAAACGUCAAGCAUAAAGCAGGGGGUAUCCUGUUCAGUGUCAGCAGAGAAGGCAGAAAGGAAUUACUGCUUGGCAGGCAGGACAAAAGAACGAGAGCCCAAAUGCAGCCAGGCAGCUGAGAGCACGCUGCUGCUCCUGCAAAGCUCUUCAAGGAAAAAUGCUGACACAGCCGUUUCUGGCACUAUUUGCUGCUGCAGGGAAUACUUAAGGUACUGUAUGCCUUGCUGCUCCUUGGGUCUUCAUGCCUCACUGCUGUUAUUUUCUUCCAAACAUUCUCCCUGUGAAUAGUUGUAAGGGGGACAGGUCUUUCUAGGGCCAGGUGCAGUUUUUCUACCCUGGUAUGGUGUGUGGUUUUACAUGUAAAGACAUACUUUUAAAAGUGAGUGUUGCUGUAUGCCUAUGUUUAAGAUUUCUCAACUGGAGAUGCAUUGAAAGGCUACGAUUUUUAGAAAGCAUUCAACACCAUCGCCCUUUGUGGAAAAAGGCUGUGUUAAAGCAGUGUCAAGCUGGGCAUACACACUUCAAGGCACCAAAAAGCACAGAUUUCAAAAAUCUUGGUCUGGGAAGAAAGUUCAGCAUCUACGCAGAGUGCUGGGUUUGUGUUUGUGUUGCUACCUUGGUGCUGUGUUGCAAUCUCCAUGUGGUUUUCAGUAGAUACUGCAACAAAAUCUUUCCAAGCAAUUGUAAAGUCUGCCUUUUUUUGAUACAUCCUUCCCCCCCCCCCCCCAUUUUAAUUACGGUUUGGGGAACCCCACUGGAUUCCAUUCCAUGAAAUACUACAUGUGCUUUUCUUUUCUACUUUACUCCAUUUAUUUUCCCCUUCCCAAAUGCAGCCCAACAGUACUUCAUUUUUUUUGUCUAUGAAGUUGCAUUCUCCUUCCACUUCACAUUGGCCAUUGCUUCUGAUCUUUACUAGGCUCUUUUAUUCUAACCAUGAUAUAUUUGCAAGCUAUACGUAAGUUUUUGUUGCAGAGGUAUUUUCCCUUAUGGAAAGUACAUUUACUUCUUCAUGAUCAGUAGAUGCACUGCUAAGAACCGAUGAUACAUAGAUACACUUCUUGGAUCUAUUGGAUGUGGCUCGUCAGUAGAAACAGAGAUGAAAAAGCAGCUGAGUCUCCAACAAAUAGUAUCCUACAAAAAAAAGAAAGUAUUUGGGACUUUGAGAGGAAAUGAACCAAAAGCUGCAACAAAACUCCUUUGUUCCAGGUGCUGUUGUGUCUCUCUCCACAGCAACGAAAUUUAGCCUUGUCAGAGCAAAUCUGGUGGUCGACUGCUAUGUUGCGUAGCUGGGAAUUGUACUGCCUGUUGAAAACUGCAUAUUCUAGUGCUGGCUUUCAGUGUGUGCUAUUAACUCCUUUCACCUUGGCUCUGUGAGAUGUUAUAAGCUUCCCAGAAGAGGUAGACAUUGAAUUCUGCUCGUUUUCAGCACUUGGACAUGCUCUCAUUGCUUCCCAGUUCCUGCAAAUUCCACGUUGAUUUCAUCCUAAAUGAAACCUCUGUUGUGAGUACAGAAGUCAGCCCUUACUCUAUAGGACUAUCAAUACAAUCCUAAAUAGCAUAAACCCCAAGGGAUGCUUUACACACUGACUAUAGCAACCUGUACAUUCCAGAUUCAUUUGGAAUAGCUAAUUAUCUUGCUAGCUGUAUCUUGUGUCUACUACUUUGUUGUUUGUACAAUAAUUAACUGCUGUUUAAAUUGAAGAUGUAGCAAGCUUUCAUAAAUAACUAAAACAUUGCUCUAUUUCUUUGCUCAAAGAUCAAGAACACAAGGAGAUUUUGGAGAGUGUUGUCCACUGUGGUCAACUACAGAGCAUGCUUAGGUGUUUCAGCAAUGAGGGUUAGCUAUGAACGAUAUGGAUCCAUACGCUUUGCUGCUUGCACUUCUUUAUUUUCUACGCACUGACUCUCAACUUUGAAAAUACUGAUUUGUCUCAUCAUGUUCCACUGUGCCUAAAUCAGAACUCGCACUGUGCAUGUCCUGCUCUGCUGUGCAGGUCUCUGGUUGCUGAAGGCAUGCUUCACCCUGUGCUCUGCCCUGCUCCAAGCAUGGGAAGCAGGAAGCUGCAAGUGAUGCCAAUGCUGCUGGUUGGCUGGGGACACAGAACAUGCUCCAAAACUCCAGUGCCUGGACUGCUUGGAUCAUGGAUGGAUCCAUGGUGUUACAGUGACAGGCUGGUGUCUCCAGCUUUCUGAGGACACUUUGCUGCUACAGCUCUGCUGAAGCACCAAGUCAAGCAGCUUGGCAGCAACAAUCAGUCACUCCUCUGCUUUAAAACCUUCCUCAUGCUUUAUGUCAAUAAGAACCACUGUACUCAAAGUAGGAGAUCAUCUCCAAGGUGGGUGCUGAAGGCGAGGAUGCAGAAGAGAUUUUGAGAAAAGCUUCUAAGCAGCUUUCAAAAUGGCAUGAAGUAAGUUCCCUUGGCUGUGUUUCAUUUGUUUCCCUGACUCUUCCCUCUUUACCUUGUGAAUUGCUUGUACAGAAGGACAGCUACCUCUAUGCUUUGUUAGGAGUUUCAGAUUUAGGAUGCUGUAAAUCUCCAAAUUAUUUCUUAUUCUAUCUUUGCUUUAAAUGGAUUUUAUAGCACUAGGAACUAUGAAGAAGAGCCAUCAAAGGACAGCUACUCUGUGUAUCUUUGUCAAAAAUAAACAGCGAUCUUUAUUGUCUUGCUGCCAGCAAGGACUGGUACAGGGUCGGUUGGGCAAAUGGAAGUCAUCCAUGGAAAUGCAGUCUGAAGGGCAGAAGUUGUGAGAUAACAGGAGUGCUGGACAAAACUGACUGUGCAUCACCAAUUUGAUGCAAGGGGAAUAAGUGAGGUUCUGCGGGACAAGAAAGAGCAAUCCAGCACAGCGUGCUCUGCUAUUAGCAACUGUGCCCCUUGCAGAGAUCUCUUUCCUAAAUGGGGCUUAAAAAAAGGGGGAAUAUUAGCAGCAUGAAGCACAGUUUUUCUUCAGGAGCUGUCUGAAGAGCCAUCUGAAUCUCAAAGAUUUUCCCAACCAGUGGCACACUGCUGUCUUUCUUACAUAUCUUGUAUUAGCAGUGAGAAAGGCACAUAUGUUCAUAUGUGAUUAUAUGAUAUAUGAGAUUUCAAGUGCUUUAUCUGAAUAUCUGAUACAUUUCUCAAGAAGGAAUUGUGUCUUGCGCUUACAAUGAAUGCAAUAAAAGGAAAGUCCCAUCCAUCACUAA